UGGGGAAUAUUGGACAAUGGGCGAAAGCCUGAUCCAGCAAUACCGCGUGUGUGAAGAAGGCCCUAGGGUUGUAAAGCACUUUCAAUUGGAAGGAAAAACUCAUGGCUAAUACCCGUGAGCUUGACAUUACCUUUAGAAGAAGCACCGGCUAACUCCGUGCCAGCAGCCGCGGUAAUACGGAGGGUGCAAGCGUUAAUCGGAAUUACUGGGCGUAAAGCGUGCGUAGGCGGCUUGCUAAGUCAGAUGUGAAAGCCCCGGGCUCAACCUGGGAACUGCAUUUGAAACUGGCAGGCUAGAGUUUGGGAGAGGAGAGUGGAAUUUCAGGUGUAGCGGUGAAAUGCGUAGAGAUCUGAAGGAACACCAGUGGCGAAGGCGACUCUCUGGCCCAAAACUGACGCUC
rnacentral:rRNA from 1 species